rnacentral:SRP_RNA from 1 species
GUAUCGGCCCCCCCGCGACGACAAACUGUGAACCCCGUCAGGCCCGGAAGGGAGCAGCGGCAGCAGCGGCCUCGGGCGCCGGGGUGUGGCUGGUAGGGGC